rnacentral:rRNA from 1 species
GAUGAACGCUGGCGGCGUGCCUAAUACAUGCAAGUCGAGCGAACGGACGAGAAGCUUUCUUCUCUGAUGUUAGCGGCGGACGGGUGAGUAACACGUGGAUAACCUACCUAUAAGACUGGGAUAACUUCGGGAAACCGGAGCUAAUACCGGAUAAUAUUUUGAACCGCAGGGUUCAAAAGUGAAAGACGGUCUUGCCGUCACUUAUAGAUGGAUCCGUGCUGCAUUAGCUAGUUGGUAAGGUAACGGCCUACCAAGGCAACGAUGCAUAGCCGACCUGAGAGGGUGAUCGGCCACACUGGAACUGAGACACGGUCCAGACUCCUACGGGAGGCAGCAGUAGGGAAUCUUCCGCAAUGGGCGAAAGCCUGACGCAGCAACGCCGCGUGAGUGAAGAAGGUCUUCGGAUCGUAAAGCUCUGUUAUUAGGGAAGAACAUAUGUGUAAGUAACUGUGCACAUCUUGACGGUACCUAAUCAGAAAGCCACGGCUAACUACGUG